rnacentral:rRNA from 1 species
UACGGAGGGUGCAAGCGUUAAUCGGAAUUACUGGGCGUAAAGCGCACGCAGGCGGCUAAGUCAGUCGAUUGUGAAAGCCCUGGGCUUAACCUGGGAAUUGCAGUCGAUACUACUUAGCUAGAGUAUGGGAGAGGGCAGUGGAAUUCCCGGUGUAGCGGUGAAAUGCGUAGAUAUCGGGAGGAACAUCAGUGGCGAAGGCGGCUGCCUGGCCCAAUACUGACACUCAGGUGCGACAGCGUGGGGAGCAAACAGGG